ACGAACGCUGGCGGCAUGCCUAACACAUGCAAGUCGAACGAGACCUUCGGGUCUAGUGGCGCACGGGUGCGUAACGCGUGGGGACCUGCCCUUAGGUUCGGAAUAACUCCCCGAAAGGGGUGCUAAUACCGGAUAAUGUCUUCGGACCAAAGAUUUAUCGCCUUUGGAUGGGCCCGCGUUGGAUUAGCUAGUUGGUAGGGUAAAAGCCUACCAAGGCGACGAUCCAUAGCUGGUCUGAGAGGAUGAUCAGCCACACUGGGACUGAGACACGGCCCAGACUCCUACGGGAGGCAGCAGUGGGGAAUAUUGGACAAUGGGCGAAAGCCUGAUCCAGCAAUGCCGCGUGAGUGAUGAAGGCCUUAGGGUUGUAAAGCUCUUUUACCCGGGAUGAUAAUGACAGUACCGGGAGAAUAAGCGCCGGCUAACUCCGUG
rnacentral:rRNA from 1 species